CUUGGCCUGCGACGUUGGUGAAUGCCAAUAAAGUUAUCGAUCUAUACUUUGUGCGAUAGGGAGCCAAACGCGGUCGGCGGUGAGCAAGCCGGGCAUCUUCGGAUGAAUCUCGGAGUCUCUAAAGCCGAUUCACCGGUUCCCACCUGGGUUACCAGAGGUCGCAUACUGAGGUAAAACGGCGUUGCGGGUCUUCA
rfam:Gloeobacter violaceus PCC 7421 DNA, complete genome.